rnacentral:rRNA from 1 species
GAUGAACGCUAGCGGCAGGCCUAAUACAUGCAAGUCGAACGGAGUGUUUAUUUAUAAACACUUAGUGGCGAACGGGUGAGUAACGCGUAGACAACCUACCCUCUAGAUGGGGACAACACCGCGAAAGUGGUGCUAAUACCGAAUGUUGUAAUGUUGUUGCAUAAUGAUAUUACUAAAGGUGACCUCUAUAUAUAAGCUACCGCUAGAAGAUGGGUCUGCGUCUGAUUAGCUAGUUGGUGAGAUAACAGCUCACCAAGGCAAUGAUCAGUAGCCGGUCUGAGAGGAUGAACGGCCACACUGGGACUGAGACACGGCCCAGACUCCUACGGGAGGCAGCAGUGGGGAAUCUUCCGCAAUGGACGAAAGUCUGACGGAGCAACGCCGCGUGAGUGAAGAAGGUUUUCGGAUCGUAAAGCUCUGUCUUCAAGGACGAAUGUAGAUAUUGUGAAUAAUGAUAUUUAAUGACGGUACUUGAGGAGGAAGCCACGGCUAACUACGUGCCAGCAGCCGCGGUAAAAC